rnacentral:rRNA from 1 species
AUAAUCAGUUGGCUUAUAAUUGAAGUCUGGAAUGAACGGGAAUUCGGGGUGAUACUGUCUUAGAUUAAUUAAAUAGAAAUUACUUAAUAAGUGAAAAUUCUUAUUAAAAAGUAAAUAGACGAGAAGACCCUAGAAAUUUUUACAAAAGAUAACUAAUUCUUUUUGUUGGGGCGACAAGAUAACAUAAAACUUAUCCGAAUUCUUUGGGAACUUUAUAAAUAGCGCAAAUAAAUUACUCUAGGGAUAACAGCAUAAUUUGUUAGAGUUUGUGACCUCGAUGUUGGACUAGGGAGUGUUUUACUUAAAAGGUAAAAUAAUUGGCUCUGUUCGAGCUUUCACCCUACAUGAUC